rnacentral:lncRNA from 1 species
AGAAUAUCCCAGAGGGGACCCAAGUAGAAAGCCACCUGUUUCAAACAGUCAGGUCUAUGUUAUACUGUGGCAUGGCCAAUGGCACCAGGGCUGGCUGGCUGCUGAGGACAACUCAUGGAGUGGAAUGUGACCAGACAAUGUCAGCACGCAUCAAAGGUAGCAGCCCACUGGGGAAUGGCAUCUGACACUCCUGGUCCUGAGACUGCAGGAGGGAGAGACCCACAGCCAAUGGGACACCCAAUGGGAGUCCUGCUCUCCCCAGAGGAAAUAAUUAGCCCUGAAUUGCCCCAUUACUUGAUAUCUAUCUCCAAGGUCAAUGUGAAUGAAUAGGUCUCUUUGCUUGAUUUCUUCCCCUAGAGCAAAUGUUUCAAUGAUCUCCACACUCCUCCUUAAUUCAGAGUCCAUUGUCCAGCACAUUUGAGCCCCUCCAUGAAAACAAGCUCCUAGGUGAGUAUAAUGUAAAUAAAACCAUUGCCAUCCAAAACGGUGUUUCUUGUUCAACCCUGCUUGCAAAAGCUUACUCAACCGGCAGAGACAAAAAGCAGUGCUUUUCGAAGUAUGAAAACUACCCAUUAUCCCAUUAGAGAGAUGCCGGUUACAGAGAUGCCGGUGGAAAUCGGAAGCUUCUGGCUUCAGGCAGAACUAGUGAGUUUGAAGCUCACUUUUUAAAUGAAAAAAGUAAUGCUCUUUUCUUCUUUGGGACUCACAACAGCUAGUUCAUAGUGUGAAGCCACAAAACUAGACCUUUUAAAAAUGAUCUUGUCCUAAGACUAGGAGGUUGGAAGAGACGAGAAGGUUUUCAUUUAAAGAAUGAGAGUUUUUUCUGGCCCUUUGGCCAAACUGAAUCCCAUCCACUUGUCCAAUCCAAGAUCCUCUUCCUGGAUUCACUAUCUCCAGAUGGGAACUUGCUAGAUUUCAUUCAUUAAAACCAAGGCUCCCCACUUGCAGGCACAAGUUCCCAUCUGCUGCCACAUCUUUGCAGUAUCAGCUCAGCCUUUCCUCUUCUGGCACGAGUUCACAGGCUCCUGUAGAACCAGAGGUACUAAUACUCCAGGAGCACUGGGAUCUGCUCAUUUUCAUUGUGACGCAGCAGUAUUUCAGCCAAGUUUGGAAUUAAAUAUGCCUUUAUGUGCUGGCAUAAAAAGCUAUCUACCAUUCCUAGGAAAACAGCUUCUAUUCCAAACAGCUGACUUCCAAAGUCCAGAACAUAAUCUAUUUGUAAGCUGCGUGGCUGCCUACACAGUUCCAGCCCCUUUUCUCUCACCUCCCAGCUAAUCAAGUAAUCUUUUGUUUCCUGAGCCCAUUCUGUGGAGAGGAGUGUAAAUCAAUCAACAGCGAAGGCCUCCAAAGCCUGCAAGCCAGGAUGAGCAGGAACAGGCCAAGGGCAAUGGUUCUCAAACUUCAGCCAGCAUCAGAGUCGCCUGGAAGAUCUAUCGCAACAGACUGCCAAAGAUCUGGGGUGCAACUCAAGAACUGGCAUUUCUAACCUUCCUCCUAGUGGAAAAUUUGCCUUCAGAAAAAGAUGGCCCAAUCCAGGGAAGAGCCACUGGCCUAGAGUAUAUGGGACAGAGGUACAGGGAGGUAACUAGAUGUUCAGAAUCCUCAGCAGCCAGCCACAUAACCUAACUGGUCCAAAACCCACCCUCCCCUGGGAUGGAUCAUGAAGGAGUAAACAGCCCUCCUUGGUCUCUUCUGCCUUAAUCUGCAGGCAGAGAUUACACCCUACCAUGAGAUGAACAAUUGCCUUGGAAUAGGUCAGCAUCAUGUGCCAUUUUAUAAUUAUAUCUACA